rnacentral:rRNA from 1 species
UACAGAGGUCUCAAGCGUUGUUCGGAUUCAUUGGGCGUAAAGGGUGCGUAGGCGGCGCGGUAAGUCGGGUGUGAAAUUUCGAGGCUUAACUUCGAAACUGCAUUCGAUACUGCCGUGCUUGAGGACUGGAGAGGAGACUGGAAUUUACGGUGUAGCGGUGAAAUGCGUAGAUAUCAGGAGGAACACCUAUUGCGAAGGCAGCUCGCUGGGACGUAACUGACGCUGAGACGCGAAAGCGUGGGGAGCAAACAGG